UGGAGAUGAAAGUCACAAUGCCCAUUGACCCUGUAGAACCGAGCUUGUGUUGACUAAUUGAAAUCACAAGCCUAUUCUACAGUGUACAUGGUUAUUGCUAA
rnacentral:pre_miRNA from 1 species